GAUAAACGCUGGCGGCGUGCAUGAGACAUGCAAGUCGAACGGACGGUCAGGGCUUGCCUUGGCCGUUAGUGGCGGACGGCUGAGUAACGCGUAGGUGACCUGCCCCGAAGUGGGGAAUAACUGCCCGAAAGGGUGGCUAAUACCGCAUGUGCCGGUGCGUUCAUUCGUACCAGCAAAGCCGCAAGGCGCUUCGGGAGGGGCCUGCGUCCGAUUAGCUCGUUGGUGGGGUAACGGCUCACCAAGGCGACGAUCGGUAGGUGGUCUGAGAGGACGAUCACCCAGACUGGGACUGAGACACGGCCCAGACUCCUACGGGAGGCAGCAGUCGGGAAUUUUGCGCAAUGGACGAAAGUCUGACGCAGCAACGCCGCGUGAGGGAUGACGGCCUUCGGGUUGUAAACCUCUUUUCUCAGGGAAGAUAAUGACGGUACCUGAGGAAUAAGCCACGGCUAACUACGUGCCAGCAGCCGCGGUAAUACGUAGGUGGCAAGCGUUGUCCGGAUUUACUGGGCGUAAAGAGCGCGCAGGCGGUCGAGUAAGUCGCGUGUGAAAAGCCCCCGGCUCAACUGGGGAGGGUCACGCGAUACUGUUCGACUCGAAGGCAGGAGAGGGUAGUGGAAUUCCCGGUGUAGUGGUGAAAUGCGUAGAUAUCGGGAGGAACACCAGUGGCGAAGGCGACUACCUGGCCUGUUCUUGACGCUGAGGCGCGAAAGCUAGGGGAGCAAACGGGAUUAGAUACCCCGGUAGUCCUAGCUGUAAACGAUGGACACUAGGUGUUGGUGG
rnacentral:rRNA from 1 species